rnacentral:rRNA from 1 species
UACGUAGGGUCCGAGCGUUGUCCGGAAUUAUUGGGCGUAAAGGGCUCGUAGGCGGUUAGUCGCGUCGGGAGUGAAAACUCAGGGCUCAACCCUGAGCGUGCUUCCGAUACGGGCUGACUAGAGGUAUGCAGGGGAGAACGGAAUUCCUGGUGUAGCGGUGGAAUGCGCAGAUAUCAGGAGGAACACCGGUGGCGAAGGCGGUCUCUGGGCAUUACCUGACGCUGAGGAGCGAAAGCAUGGGGAGCGAACAGG